rnacentral:lncRNA from 1 species
GAGCCUACAAACAUGAAGCUCUUCCUUGUAACUUUCCUAAUGGCUUUCCUGGCUGUCCAGGCUAAAAGAGCUGAUGGCUCAUCUGAAGAGGGAUAUGUUGAAGAAUAUCUUCAGGGUGAUGUGUACCCUGAAUAUUCUGAAGAUGCUGGUUAUCCUGAGAAUCCUGGAUAUGGUCCAAAUCCUGGAAAUUCUGGAUAUCCUGGGAAUCCUGGAUAUGGUUCAAAUCCUGGAAAUCCCCCGUAUUAAGAAAUCCUCAAAAUGCACCCCAAGGAGAACCUCAAUAAACACAGGUAAAGGUUUGCCUGGAAGACUGACUCGAUCUCCCUGUGUAUUGAAUCUACAAGUCUACAAAUUCAUCAAUCUCUCCAUUAGAUGAUAGCUCCAACUUUGUUAGAUUAACAUGAAUCAUUCCCCCAAAAGACUAAUGCUGUCCUUUAUACUCUCC